rnacentral:rRNA from 1 species
GACGGAGGGUGCUAGAGGUGUUCGGAAUCACUGGGCGUAAAGGGCGCGUAGGCGGUCAUUCAAGUCGUGUGUGAAAGCCCGGGGCUCAACCUCGGAACUGCAUUCGAUACUGGAUGGCUUGAGGCCGUAAGAGGAGAGUGGAAUACCCAGUGUAGAGGUGAAAUUCGUAGAUAUUGGGUGGAACACCAGUGGCGAAAGCGGCUCUCUGGUCCGGUCCUGACGCUGAGGCUCGAAAGCGUGGGUAGCAAACAGG